rnacentral:rRNA from 1 species
GAUGAACGCUGGCGGCGUGCCUAAUACAUGCAAGUCGAGCGAACGGACGAGAAGCUUGCUUCUCUGAUGUUAGCGGCGGACGGGUGAGUAACACGUGGAUAACCUACCUAUAAGACUGGGAUAACUUCGGGAAACCGGCGCUAAUACCGUAUAAUAUUUUGAACCGCAUGGUUCAAAAGUGAAAUACGGUCUUGCUGUCACUUCUAGAUGGAUCCGCGCUGCAUUAGCUAGUUGGUAAGGUAACGGCUUACCAAGGCAACGAUGCAUAGCCGACCUGAGAGGGUGAUAGGCCACACUGGAACUGGGACGCGGUCCAGACGCCUACGGGAGGCAGCAGUAGGGAAUCUUCCGCAAUGGGCGAAAGCCUGACGGAGCAACGCCGCGUGAGUGAUGAAGGUCUUCGGAUCGUAAAACUCUGUUAUUAGGGAAGAACAUAUGUGUAAGUAACUGUGCACAGCUUGACGGUACCUAAUCAGAAAGCCACGGCUAACUACGUG